GCCGGGCACCGUGGCGUGUGCCUGUAGUCCCAGCUGCUUGGGAGGCUGAAGUGGGAGGAUCACUUGAGCCGAGGAGUUCUGGGCUGUAGUGCGCUAUGCUGAUUGGUUGUCCGCACUAAGUUCAGCAUCAAUAUGGUGACCUCCCGGGAGCGGGGGAACACCAGGUUGCCUAGGAGAGGUAAACCGGCCCAGGUCAGAAAUGGAGCAGGUCAAAACUCCCGUGCUGAUCAGUAGUGGGAUUGUGCCUGUGAAUAGCCACUGCACCCCAGCCUGGGCAACAGAGCGAGACACCAUCUCU
rnacentral:SRP_RNA from 1 species